UACAGAGACCUCGAGCAUUAUCCGGAUUUAUUGGGCGUAAAGGGUCCGCAGGCGGCCUCACACGUCACAUGUCAAAUCUUCGGGCUCAACCCGAAAACUGCGUGUGAUACGGUGAGGCUAGAGAUCGGGAGAGGCACAUGGAAUUGCGAGUGUAGCGGUAAAAUGCGUUAAUAUUCGCAAGAACACCACAGGCGAAGGCAGUGUGCUAGAACGAUUCUGACGCUCAGGGACGAAAGCAUGGGUAGCGAAUGGG
rnacentral:rRNA from 1 species